rnacentral:rRNA from 1 species
AUUGAACGCUGGCGGCAGGCUUAACACAUGCAAGUCGAGCGGGGUGAGGUGCUUCGGUACUGAUCCUAGCGGCGGACGGGUGAGUAAUGCUUAGGAAUCUGCCAUUUAGUGGGGGACAACAUUCCGAAAGGAAUGCUAAUACCGCAUACGUCCUACGGGCGAAAGCAGGGGAUCUUCGGACCUUGCGCUAAAUGAUGAGCCUAAGUCGGAUGAGCUAGUUGGUGGGGUAAAGGCCUACCAAGGCGACGAUCUGUAGCGGGUCUGAGAGGAUGAUCCGCCACACUGGGACUGAGACACGGCCCAGACUCCUACGGGAGGCAGCAGUGGGGAAUAUUGGACAAUGGGCGGAAACCUGAUCCAGCCAUGCCGCGUGUGUGAAGAAGGCCUUUUGGUUGUAAAGCACUUUAAGCGAGGAGGAGGCUACCUGGAUUAAUACUCUGGGAUAGUGGACGUUACUCGCAGAAUAAGCACCGGCUAACUCUGUGCCAGCAGCCGCGGUAA